CAAACAUAAUUUUCAAUACUGACUGAACCUUUCCUUCUCUAUACUCAUUUGAAAUAAACGUCUAUCGUGAUGCCUUUUGAAAUCUCAAAAUAUUAAGCUGCUUUUCUUAAAUCCUAAAAAUGUGAUGCAACGAAAUAUACAGAAUAUAUCUCCUUAAUUGAGACAAAUGGCAGGCUACACUCGCCAAAUAUUCGGCCAGGAUAAAUAACAAUGAGAAUGCCGUGCUUCACAGACAAGCAGCCUUUCUGGAAGUCUUCGUUGUUGCAUCUUCAAAGUGCCUCCACGCUGAGCUGACUUCCCUAAAGUCAUAUGGCUAACCAGGAUCAGAACUUGGCAUUCAGUUCAUCAUCUCCAGGCUCUACUGGUGUGAAGAUUAUAGAAAAAAAGAGGAAUGCUUUUACCAUUUAAUGGAGCUGCGACUUCCACUGGGCCAUUUCAUACUCUUUAUGCCACUUGAAGACCAGGGGGCAGGGGUGUAUGUUUUAGCCUGGUUUGAUGGAUACUAAUUCUCAAGGAAAAACAGGAUUGCAGCUAUACAAUGGGGGGAGGGGGGAGAAUAAACAGAACACCUUCUCAUAUUACCAUGCCCAGGGCUAAAAGUUAAUCAAGGACUGGCAAUCUAUUCAGGCAGAACCACCAAAAGCUUAGAUCCCUCAGGAAUGAAGGCUUGUGUGACCCCACUGGGUAAAGAAUCCCAGCCAGCUGAGGUGCUAGCAGAGGGCAAAGCAAACAGAAAUGUCUGGUGGAGGAAGAAAGUCAUAAAUACCAGCAACAGCCUCAUGGCCAUUUGUAGAAACAAAGACUACAGCCUCUACCUACUUCUUCCUUGCUGUGUCAUGACUAUAUCUGCACAUUUUGAUUAAACUCCCUCUUGUUUCGGAAGUUGUUGGUAGUAAUUAAUGAUAUAAUGAAUGUCACCAGUGACUAAAUAAGUGGGAUUGUGUAGAACUAAAGCAAAUGGAUAUUCCCUGGAGAUUUUGGACUUGCAUCUGGACUCACUUUGGAUUUUGUCACUUAAGGGAGGGAAGGAGCAUACUGUAAGUUGUAUGAUGAUCAUUAUAUCACCAUAGGUGAUGAAACUUUUGAAUAUAAGUACAAGUCUACUUUAGGACAUUCAAGGAAAAUGGAAUUAAAAGACAACCUUAUUUUGGUGAAAAAGUUUUUGAAAGCCACGUGCAGUAUUCUUCACAAUAGAUGGUUUACAUGAACUGUUCGAAGAACUCUCAUUUGUGUAGGAAGACUAAUACACAUAGCCAAAAGAGUAAACUGGAGUGAGCAUGAGUCAUUUGUCGACUGCAUUAACCCCUUCCUACUGGGUAGAAAGCACCACUUUGUGGGAGCCUUGGCAAGAAACUCAGCUCACAUCUGCAUCGGAAGGCAAAAGCAGGCCCAAGAAUGCCCUUAUCUUGCCCCAGGGACAGGUGCCACAUCUCAACCGCUGGGUUCUUUGACCCAGCUUUUGUACCUUCAGCAAGUGACAUAGGCAUGAAGGCACAGUUACGUUGCUGUGUUCAGUAGCAAAUAUGGAUAUUGAGAGUGAGUGACCAUGACCGUAUUGUUCCAGCACUCUCCUCAGGGGAGUUAGGGCCAGUGGUGGCUCACAAACCACUGAGAUGUAACUGUGCCUCUGUUCCCACUCCCUGGCCUCCCUUAUUUCCUACCUUAUAUCACUCCAAUAAAUUCCUACACCCUCA